rnacentral:rRNA from 1 species
UGGGGAAUUUUGGACAAUGGGCGAAAGCCUGAUCCAGCAAUGCCGCGUGUGUGAAGAAGGCCUUCGGGUUGUAAAGCACUUUUGUCCGGAAAGAAAUCCUUGGCUCUAAUACAGUCGGGGGAUGACGGUACCGGAAGAAUAAGCACCGGCUAACUACGUGCCAGCAGCCGCGGUAAUACGUAGGGUGCAAGCGUUAAUCGGAAUUACUGGGCGUAAAGCGUGCGCAGGCGGUUUGCUAAGACCGAUGUGAAAUCCCCGGGCUCAACCUGGGAACUGCAUUGGUGACUGGCAGGCUAGAGUAUGGCAGAGGGGGGUAGAAUUCCACGUGUAGCAGUGAAAUGCGUAGAGAUGUGGAGGAAUACCGAUGGCGAAGGCAGCCCCCUGGGCCAAUACUGACGCUCAUGCACGAAAGCGUGGGGAGCAAAACAGGAUUAGAUACCCUGGUAGUCCACGCCCUAAAACGAUGUCAACUAGUUGUUGGGGAUUCAUUUCCUUAGUAACGUAGCUAACGCGUGAAGUUGACCGCCUGGGGAGUACGGUCGCAAGAUUAAAACUUCAAAGGAAUUGACGGGGUCAUAGCUGUUUCCU